AGGCAUGUCUGGGAAGAUCCAGAUCUAGACAUAUUAUAGUUGAAGAUUUGUCUCCAUUAGAUUAAUCUGCAGAUGUUAUGCUGCUGUUUCCACUGGAGGCAACGAAAGUAGUUUCCUCAGCAGAAGUAAGAAAAUACUACAGGGCCAUGGUGAUGAGAACAACUGAAGAAUGGGCCUGGAGAGGAAGCAUAUCUUGCAGUUUCCCUCCGCUACCUGGAACAAGGGGCUCUCCAGAUAUGCCAGCCCCUGCAUAAGUUGGCACCAGCUCCAAGGAUGCCAACCCCUAACUGAGGAUGUCAACUGGGAGAGAUGCACCUCUAGAAAAAUGACAGAUAUGAUGACUCCUAUAAUCCUGAAGAACACAUCCUUCAACUCGCUGCUGGUAUCACCUCUCCAGGCUCAGCAACCUCAAGGAACAGGCACCUGAGAUCUCCAUGCCAGAGAUUUCCAUGAUGACAGCUAACAAUGCUUCUUCACUCAUGCCUCCCACCAUGCAUGACUCCCGGCUUUUCCCCUCCUCACUUUGCCCCUUGCCAGCUUGAAAUGGCCUCAAGAAUUCAGCAUCCUUGCUCCCCCACUUGCUCUCAUAACUUACCUCUUUCUAUAAUAAUCAAAACGGAGGAAUGUUAAUAUUCUGAUCUGUCCCUUGGGGCCACCCUGCAUCCUGACAUAGGAGCCUCCUCUUAAGAAAAAACUCCACCCCUUCCAUUCUCUUCUACUUUUCUUCCCAUGAGAUGUGCACCCCCUCCCCCCACUGUCUCCCUCUUUCUGUCUUUCUGCCUCUUCAUCUCUCUAUUAUAAUAAACUCUCCACAUGGAUGC